rnacentral:rRNA from 1 species
ACUCCUACGGGAGGCAGCAGUGGGGAAUAUUGCACAAUGGGCGCAAGCCUGAUGCAGCCAUGCCGCGUGUAUGAAGAAGGCCUUCGGGUUGUAAAGUACUUUCAGCAGUGAGGAAGGUGGUAGUGUUAAUAGCACUAUCAUUUGACGUUAGCUGCAGAAGAAGCACCGGCUAACUCCGUGCCAGCAGCCGCGGUAAUACGGAGGGUGCGAGCGUUAAUCGGAAUUACUGGGCGUAAAGCGCAUGCAGGUGGUUUGUUAAGUCAGAUGUGAAAGCCCGGGGCUCAACCUCGGAAUUGCAUUUGAAACUGGCAGACUAGAGUACUGUAGAGGGGGUAGAAUUUCAGGUGUAGCGGUGAAAUGCGUAGAGAUCUGAAGGAAUACCGGUGGCGAAGGCGGCCCCCUGGACAGAUACUGACACUCAGAUGCGAAAGCGUGGGGAGCAAACAGGAUUAGAUACCCUGGUAGGAUAGAG